UGAACCUCUGAUUGAUCACCUGAGGCAAGCAAUGAGUCAGCUAUGGGAGCACAGAUGAAGGCAAUUCACCUGUGCUGCUGGAAGAGGUGGUGCCUGGCUGCACCUCUCCUAGACACAUUUAAGAGCUGACUGCCAGUAGGAAAGGAUUUCUUCUGGAGAUCUCUGGAGUUUUGCAGUGAGCCCAGGGUGAGGAUUCUCCUUCCCUAUUUUGAAGGGAAAUCUGUGAAUGAAGAAAAGGAAAUUUCUUGUGGUUUCGUACAGCGUUGAUGUAUCAUAGAACAUCUUGCAUCAGUGAAACCUGUUAACAAGUUACAGACUCUUUGGUUUUGCUCCUCCGUUUGAAGGUUAUUGGCACCACUGCUUGUCUGGAAGAACAAGCUAUUUCACUCAGGAAAAUUGGACUAUGGAUAUAUGCUGACCAAAACCUGUGACCUGCAAUGAAACGAAGAAUAUUCUUGCAGUCUUAAAAGGUGGAUUCUGUUAUUCAGGUUUCUUUGAUUAGAAAUCAUAUUCCACAUUGAAGGAAUUCUUAUUCCAGUUCUCAGGAAAGCAAGAACUAAUUGAUUCAAGCAAGAGGACUCUACAAUGCAUUACUAAAGAAUCAUCUGUUAGAUGUGUCCUCAGUAAUGCUCCUUGAGAUGGAAUCUGUUUGAACCUACUAAUGUCAACCCUGAAAAAGAAAUGUCCUUCCAACACUACAAUGUUCAGUGUCUGUGUGACCUGUGAGUGUCUCUCUGCUUCCCCUCCUUACAGAUCAAUCUGUCUCAGCGGAAUUAAUGCCAGACACCUCAGGUACCAUUCUAUUUCUGUCUAACCCUUUCCCCUUCUCUGUAAUGAGUGAGGUAUUCCUGAUCAAAUCCUAUCAAAUGCCAGAUACCUUUCUCAUAACACAACGAUUCAGUUAAUCAUAGAAAUAAUUAGAAUCACGUACCAGUAUUAAAAGUUACCUUUCUUUACAUAGCAAUUUCUGAAUAAUUAUUGUCAAAAUCUUCCAAAAUUUAUUCCAAGUGAAAACAUAUAGUGUGAAAUUCUGCAGAAAAUAAUUACUUUAUAAUUGAAAUAAUAUUAUAUUUUCAUUCUUACAUACCACAGUUGAACAACCUUACAAAAUAGGUAAUGUUAUAGACCAUAGAUAAGAUAAACAAUAUGUGCUGCUGUAUUUCUAGCCUGUGAUUUUCAUAACUCCUCUAAUGUAGUAAAAAAAGGAAACAUGGAUCAGGCAGUUAUCAUGCACUGAAAGGAAAUUGCUUACAGAGCCUUGGAAAUGAGAUGUCAAGCCUUUUUUCUUGUUUUGACUGAUUUUAAGUUUUAUUGUAUAUAUAUUUUGAAUUUUUAGUAUCAUUUGUGAAAUAUAUACUUGUUAAAAUUCUAAAAAUAGAAUCAGAAGAAGAUUUCUUGAAAACCCAAUAAUGAAAAUAAAUGUUUUUGCAAUGACUUGCUUGCUUAAAAUUUUCUGGUGUUAUAAUUAAUAAAAGAUUUAUAUGAGUAUUUCAGUAAAUCAACAUCUAGAUGCUAAUAUUGGUAUGGUUCGAAUGUGUCUCUAAUUCAUAUCUCCACAAAUACUAAUGUUUCAAUCUUAGAGCAAAAUUCCAUUAUUGAAAGAGGCGGGUUCUCUUAUUAUCCACAUAUAAAAUUCAGAUGAAAAUUCUAGAAAAAAGAGGUAAUAAAAACUUCUCUGAAAAAAAAAUUGUCAUUAAAAGUGGUAUCUAUCCAACUCCACUGUCAUACUAUUAGAAGAAAAAGCAUUCUCACGAAUCUUAGUGCUCUUUGUCAUGUAGUACUUGGUUAUAUUUCUUUAGACAGAUGUUAAAUGUAGUGCUGCAAAAGCAAAAGGUAGCAUUUGCCAAAUAUGCAGCAGGAAAGAAGCAGGAAAUAAAACCCUUCAACUCUUUUCAAGAUAAUAAAUUAUCAAGAACAGUGAAGCAAUAAGAGCUUGCAGAGAAAUGAAUCUUUAUGAGAGGCAGGAAAAAAAAUGCACACAAGAUUGAAAAAGGAAAAAGAAACUUUGGAAAGUUUCAGUGUUUGAGAAAAAGUGUUUAAGAGCUGUUAUCCUGGUAACUAUAUAAAAGUUAGGCAUAUUGUAUUAAGCUAUUUGCUUAGUCACUGGAGAUAGGAGCAACUCCUGAAUAGCAUCUCAGAUGUGUAAGUUCAUCUGCAAGUACCUAAUGCUCUUGUAAAGGGAGCUAUGAGUGCAAGGAUAAAUUCAGGAGAAAAAUGUCACACAGUAGUGCAUUAGUAAGAGACAACAAACAGAUGCUUGAAAACUGGUACAAAGAUGAACCUUAAACUAUAAUGUGAAAAAAGAUCACGGUUAACUUAAAUGCUCCCCAUUUCAGGACUGCUAUGCUGCCACUAAUGAAACAAGCAAGUUAAAAAUCUUCUAAAUAUACAUUACCAUAUAUGUUCAGAAGGGGAAACUCAGCUAUUCUUUGUGAAAAGGCCUGAAAUGCUGAACAUUCAGCCAAAUUUUAAAACAGUGUCGCUCCGGGAUAUAUACACAGAUGAUGCAAGCUGCAUAAUGAUAUCAAGCAGACGCAGAGGUGAGUCUGAAUGAAGCAUUCCUUGUACAGCUCUCCUGCCUUUGCUUUGCAUGUCACAGUUGAGGAGGCCAGCAUAUAUCCUCUCUAUAUGUGAUGUGAUAAAAUCAAUCACUCAAAUAAAGGGCGCAGCCACUCACUCUUGCCCCCACGCAGUGAACAACAGGGAAAUGUAUGGGUGGAGUUUCACAGGUAAAGCAAAACCUGCGCACAGAAGGAAAUCAAAAUAAGAAAUCCGUUCUGUGCUUCCCAUCAGCAGGCAGAAGUUCAGCCAUUUUGAGCAAAGCAGUGCUUACCUGGUAAGACAGAUGCCAAAUCCAAAUUCAAAACAUGGCACCACACAAGAAACCAUGGAGAAAAUUAACUGUCCUAACAAAAAAUAAGUGGUACACGGUGGAAAAUGAAGGCAAUUUGAACAUUGUUUAUAUUAAGUUUGAUUUGGUAAUAUGACAGAAGUUGUAACAACCUGUAGCACAUUCCUGGAGGAAGGACUAAGGUGGUAGGUCUUCUGUCUGAAAGCACUUUUUACUUCAUAUUGGCGCUAUGUUUUCCAGAGCUUCAUUUGUUCUCCUAUGUUGUGGGGAAACAGGGUCUUAAAUGAGAUAUUUAAUUUUUACCUAACAUCAGCAAAAGUUUGAGGUCAAGUCCUCUAAAAGAAGUAAGACUCUAUCUUGAGGUAAAACAUUUUUUCCAGAACUGAUUUUUUCUGUCCUGUAUUUCCACCAUACUUUUCUACUCAAAGUUAUUUUUUUCUAUCUUUGCUAUCUCCUACUAAGCAUAGAAAGACCUGCCUUAUCUCUAGCUUAGUCCACUGUGGGAACAUAAGGUAGUUCAGGUUUUUUUUUUGAAAGUGACAUUAUUUUGAAUAGCCUCGCUUUUAAACACCGAAAGAUAUUUUCUUCAAAUAGCCUUGCAGCAACAAAGGAACAUCUCUAUCACUAUUGCAUUCUGCUUAAAUUGUUCUUCAAAUAUGGUAUUAAAAUCAUCUCUGGGUUUGACUACUUAAUAUACCAUUUCUAGCCUUCAGUAAUAGCUAGCUGGCUUUCAUCAUGUCAUGCUUUUCUCAUUUUUAGACUAUUUCUCAUAUGGUGUAGUCACUCAGAACACCAAGAGAAAUUAUCAACCUCUUAUUAUAGCCUUUGUAACUGUUUUAAUUUUCAUUCUAAUGCAGAAUUAAUUAUUUGAACACAAAUAUCCAAAUAGCUGUCAUUACUUCUAAUUCAUUUAUUUUCAAUAAAUAAAUACAUGGGAGCUGGGGAGGGAGGGGGGAGGAAUUUAUGCCCUUGAGGGUAGUAAUAGUUUUGAAAGUCUCAAGACACUAUAAAGUGAAAAAUAUAAAGCAGAUGCUCAAGCUUUAUACCGUUCGCGUGUAUUCAAAUAUCUCACUUUUCUUUUUCUAAAAAAUUAUUGUCCGUAUGUUUUUACACAUUUCUUUCUUUUGAAAAACAAAAUGUUUUUGUCAUUGAUCCUUGUGGUUUUCUAUUCUUCAUCAUUGAAAACUGUCAUAGUCACCUUCAAAUAUGGGCUCUGAUGAUAAAGGUCUGUCUGGGAAACAAAUCCUAUUAAAUACAUGACAAAAAUAAUUUAAUUCAAUCUUAAGGAAGAGAGAUGAGGAAGGUAAUUUCAAAGCUCAUUUCAAAGAUGUGGUACCAUGUAAAUAAUUAUAUAUCUUCCUCUGGUAACCGAAGACUAUCACUGUGAUCACACUGCUAACUCUAAUUCUGAUAUUGUGUUUCCUCAUGCACGGUUAUGAAAUGUAACAAAAUCAAAUUGUAAGUAGCUGUUAAUUAGAAUAUUUUUCAGACUCUAUUGGAU